CCAGGGUUGGCCGAGCGGUUGAGGCAGCGAACUCAUAAUUCGCGGGGAAACCCUAGGCUGGUUCGAUUCCAGCACCCUGGA
rnacentral:tRNA from 1 species